rnacentral:rRNA from 1 species
GCGAAUGGCUCAUUAAAUCAGUCAUAAUUGAAGGGAUGUUGUGAGAUCCUUACUUGGAUAACUGUGGUAAUUCUAGAGCUAAUACAUGCAACUGAGCUCCGACCCUGCCCGCAAGGGCGGGGAAAGGGCGCAAUUAUUAGAUCAAAAACCUGGUAACGGUUAAUUGAUGACUCUGGAUAACCUAGCCGAGCGCUGAGGUCUUAGUACCGGCGCCGUAUCCUUUAAGUGUCUGCCCUAUCAGCUUGAUUGUAGGUUAAGCGCCUACCCUGGCUGUAACGGGUAACGGGGAAUCAGGGUUCGAUUCCGGAGAGGGAGCCUGAGAAACGGCUACCACAUCUAAGGAAGGCAGCAGGCACGCAAAUUACCCAAUCCCGGCACGGGGAGGUAGUGACGAAAAAUAACGAUGCGGGACUCUUCCGAGGCCUCGCAAUCGGAAUGAGUUCAGUCUAAAUGCCUGGACGAGGAUCAAUUAGAGGGCAAGUCUGGUGCCAGCAGCCGCGGUAACUCCAGCUCUAAUAGCGUAUAUUAAAGUU